GAUGAACGCUGGCGGCGUGCCUAAUACAUGCAAGUCGAGCGAAGCGGGGGUGGGUGAGUAACACGUGGAUUACCUCCUCUUUGACUGGGAUAACUUCAGUCAACCGUAGUUAAACUGUAUCCUUAUAGAUGGAUCCGCGUUGCAUUAGCUAGUUGGUAAGGUAACGGCUUACCAAGGCAACGAUGCAUAGCCGACCUGAGAGGGGGAUCGGCCACACUGGAACUGCGAAACGGUCCAGACUCCUACGGGAGGCAGCAGUAGGGAAUCUUCCGCAAUGGGCGAAAGCCUGACCGAGCAACGCCGCGUGAGUGAUGAAGGUCUUCGGAUCGUAAAACUCUGUUAUUAGGGAAGCGGUACCUAAUCAGAAAGCCACGGCUAACUACGUGCCAGCAGCCGCGGUAAUAC
rnacentral:rRNA from 1 species